rnacentral:rRNA from 1 species
UACGUAAGGGGCUAGCGUUGUUCGGAAUCAUUGGGCGUAAAGGGCGUGUAGGCGGUUUGGCAAGCUUGGUGUGAAAUGUCACAGCUUAACUGUGAAACUGCAUCCAAGAACUGCUAGACUUGAGUUUUGGAGAGGAAGCCGGAAUUCCUGGUGUAGGGGUGAAAUCUGUAGAUAUCAGGAAGAACACCGAUGGCGAAGGCAGGCUUCUAUCCAGAGACUGACGCUGAGGCGCGAAAGCGUGGGGAGCAAACAGG